UUAGCUGGAGUCUGCGCAACAGUAACCAACGGGGCGGAGUUUAUAGAGUUCAGAGUUGUGGUUUCUCAGCAAUCAAAUCAACAUUAGGAUAAGCAAUGUAUCGAAAUUUCCAAUGCAGAGAAAGCCAGCUUUCAGGCAACACGUGUUAUUCUUGUUGACAGCCAUGCCAUUCGCUCUGUCUGAUAGAGAAAAAAAAAGAGAGAGAAACUUCCCUGAUUACACGCAGAAGCCUGUAACAUAUGCCGGUAAAGCUGAUAAGACAUGUCAGCAGCCUGGUGUGUCAUUAGUGAGCAUUGUUGCGAUGGAUGACAAGCAGACCGUGGAAGUGAUUGGAAGACAGAACAAGAAACAAUAAGAGAGAAAUGUGGGUUGGAGUUUGCUGAGGUGGUUUGUUUUGUCUUUGUUUUUGUUUUUUUUGUUGUUGUUGUUUUUGUUCUUCUCGUGGCUCAAAAAGUACAUAUACUCUUUGUUUUAGUCAGUUAUUUGUUCUCUGUUGCAUGCAAUGCAUGUAAUGGCAGACAUUGUUUCUCUGGCAGUAGUGUACAUGAAGUGGAGACGACAAAAUAGAAGUAUAGAAGACAAAAUA
rnacentral:lncRNA from 1 species